GAUGAACGCUGGCGGCGUGCCUAAUACAUGCAAGUCGAGCGAACGGACGAGAAGCUUGCUUCUCUGAUGUUAGCGGCGGACGGGUGAGUAACACGUGGAUAACCUACCUAUAAGACUGGGAUAACUUCGGGAAACCGGAGCUAAUACCGGAUAAUAUUUUGAACCGCAUGGUUCAAAAGUGAAAGACGGUCUUGAUGUCACUUAUAGAUGGAUCCGCGCUGCAUUAGCUAGUUGGUAAGGUAACGGCUUACCAAGGCAACGAUGCCUAGCCGACCUGAGAGGGUGUACAGCCCCCCUGGGACCUAAGAGCCGUUCCAAGAGCCUCGGGAAGCCAACAGUAGGAAUACUCCGCGAAAGGGCGAAAGCCGGACGAAGAACGGCCCCUGAAUAAUGAAAGGUCUCCGGUUCGUAAAACCCUUUAAUAAGGAAGAACAUAUGUGUAAGUAACUGUGCACAUCUUGACGGUACCUAAUCAGAAAGCCACGGCUAACUACGUG
rnacentral:rRNA from 1 species